AGUAACAUAAGCUAAACAAGCUUUCGGGCCCAUACCCCGACAAUGUAGGCGAAAUUCCUUCUGUUACUG
rnacentral:tRNA from 2 species